rnacentral:rRNA from 1 species
UACAGAGGGUGCAAGCGUUGUUCGGAAUUAUUGGGCGUAAAGGGUGCGUAGGCGGGCAGGUAAGUCCGUGGUGAAAUCUCUGAGCUUAACUCAGAAACUGCCAUGGAUACUAUUUGUCUUGAAUAUUGUGCGGAGGUAGCGAAUAUGUCAUGUAGCGGUGAAAUGCUUAGAUAAUGACAUAGAACACCAAUUGCGAAGGCAGCUUACUACACAGUUAUUGACGCUGAGGCACGAAAGCGUGGGGAUCAAACAGG